rnacentral:rRNA from 1 species
AUUGAACGCUGGCGGCAUGCCUUACACAUGCAAGUCGAACGGCAGCACGGGAGCAAUCCUGGUGGCGAGUGGCGAACGGGUGAGUAAUACAUCGGAACGUGCCCAGUAAUGGGGGGAUAACCCGGCGAAAGCCGGACUAAUACCGCAUACGACCUACGGGUGAAAGCGGGGGAUCGCAAGACCUCGCGUUAUUGGAGCGGCCGAUGGCAGAUUAGCUAGUUGGUGGGGUAAAAGCCUACCAAGGCGACGAUCUGUAGCUGGUCUGAGAGGACGACCAGCCACACUGGGACUGAGACGACGGCCCAGACUCCUACGGGAGGCAGCAGUGGGGAAUUUUGGACAAUGGACGCAAGUCUGAUCCAGCCAUGCCGCGUGUGGGAAGAAGGCC